rnacentral:lncRNA from 1 species
UUUGAUGAAGUUUUGUUGUUAUAGAAUAAGCAUCAUGCAUGCUUUCAUGUUAUUGAUUCAUAGUUGUUAUAGGUGUUGUAGUCACAAGGCACCAAAAUUCUUAGUUGUGACAUCAUCCCCCCGUUAGAGGGAAUUUCGUCCCGAAAUUCUUUUGAAAGCUAGAUUUGAGAAUGCAAGAGUAUAUGAGGGUACUUCUGCUUCAUUUGAUCUUCGCGUUCCCAUGUGAAUUCUGGUCCGCGUCUCGUGUUCCCUCGAACUUUCACAAUUGGAAUGCGGCUCUACUUGGUACGCUUUACCUCUCGGUCCAUGAUUUCAACUGGAUCCUCGAUGAACAGAAGGUUCUCAUUGAUUUUGAUCUCCUCUAAAGGAAUGACGAGAGUCUCGUCGUAUAAGCACUUCUUCAAGUUGGAGACAUGGAACACAGAGUGUACAUUACUAAGCUCAGUGGGUAGCUGCAGUCUAUAAGCCACUAGACCGAUUUGGGCAAGAAUCAUGAAGGGUCCAAUGUAUCGAGGUUUCAGUUUGCCUCGCUUCCCAAAACGAAUCACUCCUUUCUAAGGAGAGACUUUUAGUAACACCCUAUCUCCGACUCUGAAUUCCAAGGGCUUUCGUCGCUUAUCGGCGUAUCUCUUUUGUCUGUCUCGUGACGAUUGCAUUUGUGCUCUGAUCUGAAUUGCUUCUCGGUCAUCUUGCGUAUGAUUUACGGUCCCGUUAAAUCAUUGUUUAGCGUUUUCCCUCUCGCUAGCUGGGUGUCUCCUACCUCAACCCAACACAAUGGUGAUCUACAUUUACACCCAUAUAAUGCUUCGUAAGGAGCAACUUUGAUACUCGAGUGAUAACUGUUGUUAUAUGAGAACUAGAUCAAAGGCAAGUGGGUAUCCCAUGAUUUUCCAAAGUCUAUCACACAUGCUCGGAGCAUAUCUUCUAGUUUUUGAAUGGUUUGCUCACUUUGACCAUCCGUUUGUGUGUGGUAGGCAGUGCUCAUGUCGAGUUGUGUUCCCAUAGCUUUCUGAAGCGAUUGCCAAAAGCGUGAAAUAAAUCUACUAUCUCUAUCUGAGAUGAUAGAUACCGGUACUCCGUGGAGUCUCACGAUUUCUUUGAUGUAGAUUCUUGUCAGGCGCUCCAUCUUGUACGAUUCUUUUAUUGGUAGGAAAUGAGCGGAUUUCGUUAAUCUAUCAACUAUUACCCAGAUGGUAUCCAAGCCAUCCAUCGACUUGGGUAGUUUGGUCACAAAAUCCAUGUAAUCCUUUCCCAUUUCCACUUGGGAAUCACUGGUUUCUGUAAUAAUCCGGAGGGCUUCUGAUAUUCCACCUUUACUUUAGCACAAGUAAGGCAUUUGCUAACGUAAGUGGCAAUCUCUGCCUUCAUAUUAGGCCAUCAAUAAUGUUGCUUAACAUCCAAGUACAUUUUGUCUGAACCCGGAUGGAUGGAGUGUCGCGUCUUGUGGGCUUCGUUCAUGACUACCUCUCUGAAUCCCCCAAGUUUAGGGACCCAUACGCGGUUCAUGAAUUAAUAUGUUCCAUCUUCCUUCACCUCCAUGUUCUUCUCCAUUUCACACAGCGCUUCACUUGUUUUUCUUUCUGCCUUCAUGGCAUCUGACUGGGCUGUCCUGAUUUGCGAGGUCAGGUGGGAUUGGAUGGUUAUUGAGAGAGUUUUCACACGACGAUUUGAGUAUUCUUUUCGACUCCAGGCAUNAAGAUGUUAGCCUUGCCUGGGUGGUACUUGAUUUUGCAUUCGUAGUCGUUUAGCAGUUCGAACCAUCUUCGUUGCCUCAUGUUUAGCUCCUUUUGAUUCAAGAUAUUAGCCUUGCCUGGGUGGUACUUGAUUUUGCAUUCGUAGUCGUUUAGCAGUUCGAACCAUCUUCGUUGCCUCAUGUUUAGCUCCUUUUGAUUCAAGAUAUGCUGGAGACUCUUGUGGUCAGUGAAGAUAGUGCAGUCGGUACCAUAAAGGUAGUGUCUCCAUAUCUUCAGGGCGAAGACCACUGCUCCUAGCUCCAUAUCGUGGGUCGUGUAAUUCACUUCGUGAGUCUUUAGUUGUCGGGACGCGUAAGCUAUCACCUUUCCACGCUGCAUGAGUACACAGCCUAAACCCUGAUUUGACGCAUCGCAGUAGACUAUAAAGUCUUCCGUUCCUUCGGGUAGCGAUAGCACCGGCGCAAUGCAGAGUGCUUGCUUCAGAGAUCAAAAUGCGGCUUCCUGCUUGUCUGUCCAUACAAAGGGUACGCCCUUUUGUGUAAGCAUGGUAAGCGGUUUGGCCAUCUUAGAGAAGUUCUGGAUGAAUCAUUUGUAAUAGCCUGCGAGACCCAGAAAUUGGCGAAUUUCUAUGGGUGUUGUUGGAAUUUCCCAUCCUUCGACGGCUUGAAUUUUAGAAGGAUCCACAUGAAUUCCUUCCUGACUAACAACAUGUCCCAAAAAGUUCACACUUCGGAGCAAAAACUCGCACUUGGAGAGUUUUGCGUAUAACUUUUCGGUUCGUAGGGUUUCUAGGAUUUGUUGAAGAUGUUGGUCGUGUUCUUCUUCGUUUCGGGAAUAUAUGAGGAUAUCAUCGAUGAAAACGAUGAUGAAAUUAUCAAGAAAAGGUCGGCAGAUUCGAUUCAUUAGAACCAUGAAUGCGGCAGGAGCAUUCGUUAGACCGAAGGGCAUUACGAAAAAUUCAUAAUGUCCGUAACGAGUUCGGAAGGCGGUUUUUGGAAUAUCCUCCUCCCAGACCUUGAGUUGGUGGUAUCCAGAUCGCAGAUCUAUCUUUGAGAAGUGACUAGCUCCUUGGAGCUGGUCGAAUAGGUCGUCGAUUCGUGGAAGUGGAUAUCGGUUUUUGACAGUGAGCUUGUUAAGUUCUCUGUAGUCGAUACACAUCCGGAAGGUACCGUCUUUCUUCUUGACAAAGAGAACUGGAGCUCCCCAAGGUGAGAAACUGGGUCAAAUGAAUCCUUUAUCCAAAAUCUCAUUGAGUUGGCUGGACAACUCUUGCAUCUCCGCAGGAGCCAAUCUGUAGGGCGAUUUGGCGAUGGGGGUAGCUCCUGGUACAAGGUCAAUUCGAAACUCGAAUUGUCUUUCUGGGGGUAUCCACAGAAGUUCAUUAGGAAAGACAUCUGGGAACUCACAAGCUACUAGAAUGUCUUGAAUGUUGACCUCUUUCUUGGAUUUGUCUACUAUGUGAGCCAGGAACGUCAAGUCCCUCUUUCGUAGGUACUUUUGUGCUUUAAUGCACGAGAUAAGACGAAGGUUCGUGCUGGGUUUGUCCCCGUAAAUAACUAGGGUUUCGUGAUUUGGGAGAUGAAGGCGAACGGCCUUCUCGUGACACAUAAUUUCAGCAUGGUGGGGGCUUAACCAAUCCAUGCUGAUAAUCACAUCAAAACUCCUAAUGGAAAUAGGCAUCAAGUUUAUUUGAAAGACGUGGUGAUUUAAGGCUAUGGUACAUCCGAUAUAGAUUUCCCCAGUGGAUUCUGUCUUCCCAUUAGCCAUUUCCACCGUGAAGGUUUCAUUAAGCUUCUGGGGUUGUUGAUUUAACAAGUGUUUGAAUUUAUUGCUCACAAAACUCCGUUCUUCUCGGUAUCAAAUAGGAUGCAUGCAUAAGUGUGGUUUAGGAGAAACGUACCAGUAACAAUAGUGGGAUCCUGAACUACUUCUCGCUGACCCAUAGCUAGCACCCGUCCUUCUCCUGCGUUCCCAGGGUUGUUGGUGUUGUUGUUGUUGUGGUUGCUGUUGCUGUUGCUGUUGUUGUUUCCUUGUGGUUGAUUCUAGGGAGGAUGGUUCCUGCAAUACUUUGCCGUGUGACCCUUCCGAUUGCAACUGGUGCAAUGCAUUUCUCUACAUUCUCCAUUAUGGUGGAGACCGCAUUUGUUGCACUUUGGAAGAGUUCCCGAAUACUGCCAAGGAGCACUUAGAUUAGCUGAGGCUGGAGCAUGUGGUGUGAAGGGCACUUGAGUGGUCACAACAUUGACCGUCACUGUUUGUUGCUUCUUGCUGAUUCCGAGCCUUGUCGCUCUUUUCUCUUGUUAUUCAUUCCUUUCUUGUUGUCAUUCUCUUUCUUUCCUUCAAUUUCCGCUGGCUUCUCACCCUUUUUGUUGUUGUGGUCGUACAGUUUCUUGGCCAAUCUCUUGGCACUGUCAAACGUUUCAGGUUUUGCAGCGAUCAUAUUUCCUUGAAUUGGGGAGGUCAGUCCCCAGAUGAAUCGUUCAAUUUUCUUCCCUUCAGAGGUAAUCAUGCCAAGGCACAAUAAUGACAGCUCGCUAAACUUUGAUAUGUAUACAUCUAUAUCAGAGUUUCGGACGGUGAGAUCCCACAGCUCUUGCUCCAUCUUCUGGAUUUCGCCACGAGGGCUGUACUCAGCCAUCAUCAUUUCCUUCAGCUCCGUCUAUGGCAUAGAGUUGGCUACAGGGAGAGUCAUGGCCUCUAUAUGUCCAUUCCACCAAGUGAGAGCCUGGUCGACAAAGGUGCACGUGGCAAACCUCACUUUCACUUCCUCGGGGCAUUCACAUAUUUCGAACACUGAUUCCACCUUCUCAAUCCACCUCUUCAGGACUAUCACACCGCCCGUGCCAUUAAAGGUUUGCGGCUUGGCAUUGGUGAAAUCAUUGUAGGAGCAUGUUUUGGUCGGUCCUUGAUUAAUCCCGUUGUUUGAACUUCUUGCCUCUUGUCCGUUGACUCCUCCAUUGUUCCCUUGGUGAAUCUGUGCCAUUGCUGCGGUGAACGCAGCAGACACAGCUGCUUGGAAUGCAGCUGAGUCAACUUCUGGAGGGGUUGGUCCAGGUUUACUACGAGUUGGUCGUCGAGGCAUCUUUCUGUCAUGGAGCGGAAAGAUGUUGAGUGCCUAUGGUUUUGUGAGAUUGUGAUCCUAUAAACUAGGUGUGUGGCAUGAACUUAAGAAAUUUCACAAUUUAGCAUACAAUCAUGGAUAUAUAACACAUAAAAGAUUACAACAUCAUAGUAGAACACUUAAAACCUUUCAUUAAUAUUAUCCGCAUUUUUGAUACAUGAAAAUUUUGCUCAAAAGAGCAUACAUAAGUGGUGCAAAUUCGGCAGCAUAACGGCUCUAUGAGUAGUGUAAUCACUUAAACAUAGAGUUGGGGUACAUAGAACAGAUCCUAGUAACAUAAUAUUAAAUACGGGUACGACUAGUCCUAGUCAUGGUGGGAUGCGCAAAGGAGUGGUACUGAGGAAGUGGACACUCCCUGAAGACGAGCCACUUGUCGUUCCGCAUCUCGGAGUCAAGCCUCCCACCACGCCUGUCUGAUGUGGAACUCUCGGAUAACCUCUCACGUUUCCUGAUCUGCACGCUCGACCCUAGUCUACACCUGGUUCAUCUGAUCGACGGUGCUCUGAGCUAGGUCGCCAGUGUUCCGCAAUCGUCUCACCAUGACCGAAAGAGCACAAUCGGCCGGUCCUCCAUCGCUCAGGUCAUAGAACUCGCGUGACAUGCCAAACGGGGGUCGUUGUCCCUGCUGCCUACUCCACCUCCAAAGGUCGAUACCCCAGGGCGUGUAGGACCAGUGGGGCCUACCCGAUAAGCGGGCACCCUAAUCGGAUAAAGAGGGUUGAUGACUUCAGACUCUGCGUCCGAAUCACCAUCUUCGUCUUCGUUGGGUUCCUCCUCGAGACCUCCAUCGGCUUCCUCUUCCUCCUGGUCCACCACUGGCUCGGCAGGUCUGCCUUCAGCUUCCGCCUCAGGUUCCCCUUCGGAUUCCUCCUCAAGUUCUUCCUCGGGUUCCUCUUCAGACUCCUCCUCGGGGUCCUCUUCAGGUUCCUCCUCGGAUUCGUCCAACCAUCUGUUAUUCCCCUGAUUAGGGAAAUAAGGAACUCCAGGGUGAUGGAAACCAGUUGUGCUGUCUGUGAGGAUGUAUAAACAUGUUAAUAUCAUUCCUAAGAUGUAUAGAUUGAGUUGUUGUUCUCUUUUUGGUGAUAAAGGGGUAUGUUUUUAGGUUUUCCUACCAUCACGAUUUCCUCGAGACACGUGAUAGUUGUACCUUGGAGGAAAUGUAGUUGAUCAGGCUACAUCCUCUCCUUGAUACAACCAUGUAUAGUCCCGGCUUAUCCAAGAUAAUAGCAUUAUCUUGUUUGGUUUGGUAUUAUAUUCUGUUUCCUAAUUCACACAGGCAAAGAUGUUUUAUAGUUGUGUUUUUAUUUGUUUUCUUUUGUUCAGAGUUGGGUUAGUCCCUUUUCGGUUUAUAGUUGCAUAUCAAUGUGUGUUUAGAUAUGCUAGUUCACUAUAGACAAUGCUCUGAUACCAACCUGUCACACCCCCGAACCAAACGGCGGAAACGUCCGAGGGCUCGCCUUACUUUAAUUGAAUAUCAUCACAAUGAAUAUACAUGAAUCAUAACAUAAAUGUCACCAUGCAUAAAUAUAUUACAACUGGAAUUGUUCACAUCGAAUACAUUGUUUUAACAUUACACAUUCAUAACAUAAAUUGUUUGAGUGCUUUUAACAGCAUAACAUACUAACAUUACUUCAUAUUACUCUUCCUCUUACCUGUUACCUGAGAAUACAAGUUAUUCUGGAAAAACAUCAACAUAUGAAAUGUUGGUGAGUUCAUAAGCAAUGUUGUGAUAAAAUGAUUUGUGUAGUCUGUAAAACCCAGAAAAUCUGAUAUUUUCUGAAAAGACUUUAGUUCAUCAAAGUGUGAAGAUCCAUAAGUUGAUGCAUGAAUGAUUUCAAAAACAUAUAUAUGAAGGGUAUUUUGCAUUAUAGUUAUAAAAUUUCGAGCGAGUAGUAUUGAAUUCCUUGGAAAACCCGAUGUUUUCCGAUGUUGAAAUGUAUUCGUGAUUACUGAUUUUUGUAUUGUCUUAACGAAUGAAUAUUGAUUACUCCACAUUGUAUAUCGUCCUAAUUUCGUCUACUUUGAUUUCUCGUAAGCCUUAGCGAACGAAGAGAAGAGGAGCAUUAUGUCCCACUACUAUCGUAAGUACCUUAGGCUGUCGUGGAUGCGAAAGACACGAGGGUCUAACAUGCAUUUGAUUACUGUGACCUUACUAGCUUUUUUAAUGGGCCUCUAGGGCCCAAUGGCACAUAAAAGCUAUUGAAACUCCUUUUAUAAAAUAUUAGGUCAUGGAAGGCCCAAUAACAUAUAAGCGUUAUCCCUUUGGGCCCAAAGAUCAUGUCGAUGGGCUAGCAAGGCUCAACGAGCAUGAUUUGAAACUCAUAAGCCCAAAGUUUGAAGAUUUACUCAUUGUUGUUAUCGCAUAUCUAUUGAAGUGUUUUGAUUUAACGAUUGUUGUUUUGUAUUGAUUUGAGACCGAAUCAAUUCGUUUUGUCGUUAGUCGUGGAUCUUGUAUUUUGUCUUAAUGAAUUAAUUUGUUUAAAAGUAGAAUUUGACCUUUUCACUAACUUUCUUUUAUAAAAAUAACACUUUUAGUCCUUUAUAUAAAACAAUUUCACUUUUAGUCCUUAAAACAUUUUCUUGAAACUUUUGUAUCAUAAACUCAUUGAAAAGACAGUUUUAACCCAAAAUUUAUUUUGUUAACAGCUUCAGCCCUUCCAGAAUGGUUUUUCUCGGUUAGAACCCCAUUUUUCGCAACUUUUACAGCUUUGGCCCAAAAUCUAAAACUUUACAUUUAUGGUCCUUUUUGAUAGUGAAAAGCAUUUUUGACCCUUAAAAUAGUUUUGUUAUGCUAAUUAUCCCCUAUGUUAUAGAAAGUUCCACUUCAGCCCCUUAAAUUUGUCAUUUUUUGCAAUUCGAGGCUUAUUGGGCCAAAAAGCCUAAAAUUAGCCCAUUAAGCUAAAAAUUUACAUUUUAAGUCCUUUGAAAAUUUUAUUAUUCAGAAUAACAAUUAUGAAAACUGUUUUGGCUAUUUUGGCCCUUAAGAAACCGUGACUUGGCCAUUUUUAACCCUAGUUUUGUAUACUUCACAUUUUAAGCCCAAAAGUGGGUUUUUAUGUUGAAAUAUGUUAUCAUAACCUUAUAAUUUAUUAUUCUUGACUUGAUUAGUGUAGAAUAACUUAGAUUAUAUUUGUUUGUCUUCUCAUAUCAUAGAUUUCGAGAUUUACCCCUUUUUAGUUACAUAUUUAUCACAAAAACCCAUAAAUAUACACAUACAUGCAUAAAAUCACACAUAUCAUACAUAAACACAUAGAUCUACACAUUUUCUUGUAUUCUCCCCCAUAAAACACAUGAAAACCGAAAAGAGUGGGGUAUGAAGCUCACCUUGAGUUGUGUUUCGGUUUUNUUUCGGUUUUGAAGAGAGAAGUGAAGAAAAUUUCGAUCCUAGUAAGCUUUCUUGGAUGAUCUCGAAUUUAAAGGCUUCUAAGAUGCAAGAUCACAAGAUUUCAUGGAUUUAGAAGAGAUUUUUGAUGAAAUGAAGUAGUUAGAUCAUGGAUUAAACAUCAAUUUACCUUAGAUUUGUGAUAUUAAGAAGAGAUUUCCUUAUAGCCUUUGUGAUUCUUGAAAUUUUUGAGGGAGAGUGUAAGGAUGUUCUAGUGAGAGUUUGAGAGAAUGGAGAUGAAUUUUGUGAGUGUGUGUGUGUGUUGUGUUCGACCAAGAGAAGAAGGGAGAGGGGAAAAGAGAAAAUUGAUGAGAUGUUUGCUUGGAAGCAUGGGAUUUGCAUGGAAACCCACCAAUUAUUAGUGAGGUGGCAAUGAGAAAGUCAACUCCUCUUUCUCUUGUGGGUUUGGGCCGAGAAUGGAGAGGGGAAGAGAGAAGAUUUGGGAUUUUUGCCCUUAAGCCCAUAUUAUAGUUAAGUUAGAUGAUGCUUGGCCCAAAUAAAUCAAAGUAUAAUUUUUGUGACCUAUCAGGGCUAAAUUAAAUUGGUUAUGACCCAUUAAGGCCCAAAAUAUUAUGUUUCAUGUAUAUGGGUCCAAAUUAAGGCCCAUUAGAGAGUUCUAGGUUGAAGAUGGAUAAAUUGGAAGCUUAUUAGUUCAUUUGGCCCAAUAAGGAAAUCCUAGUCCAAAAUGGACUUAAACCGGGAUUUCAAAGGUUUCCAAUUCUUUGUUGACCAUUUGUCGUGCUAGAAUGAAGUAUUUGAUGAAGUUUUGUUGUUAUAGAAUAAGCAUUAUGCAUGCUUUCAUGUUAUUGAUUCAUAGUUGUUAUAGGUGUUGUAGUUACAAGGCACCAAAAUUCCUAGUUGUGACAAUGUAUUUUUUGGAGGUUAAUUAUGUCGAUCUAUAACUUUAUACAUUUAUGUUACAAAUGAUAGUUUAUUAUAUAAUUAUAAAACAUAAAUUGUUAUGUAUAGCUAAAAAAUAUCGUGUACUGAUCAUCACAUUUGUUCUUAUGU